rnacentral:rRNA from 1 species
AGCCCAGAGAAAUUUGGAUUAAUACCUCAUAGUAUAAUGACUCGGCAUCGAGAAAUUAUUAAAGUCACAACGGUAAAAGAUGAGCAUGCGUCCCAUUAGCUUGUUGGUAAGGUAACGGCUUACCAAGGCAACGAUGGGUAGGGGUCCUGAGAGGGAGAUCCCCCACACUGGUACUGAGACACGGACCAGGCUCCUACGGGAGGCAGCAGUGAGGAAUAUUGGUCAAUGGGCGCAAGCCUGAACCAGCCAUGCCGCGUGCAGGAUGAAGCAUCUAUGGUGUGUAAACUGCUUUUGUACAGGAAGAAACCCUGCCACGUGUGGCAGAUUGACGGUACUGUAAGAAUAAGGAUCGGCUAACUCCGUGCCAGCAGCCGCGGUAAUACGGAGGAUCCAAGCGUUAUCCGGAAUCAUUGGGUUUAAAGGGUCCGUAGGCGGUUUUGUAAGUCAGUGGUGAAAGCCCAUCGCUCAACGGUGGAACGGCCAUUGAUACUGCAAGACUUGAAUUAUAAGGAAGUAACUAGAAUAUGUAGUGUAGCGGUGAAAUGCUUAGAGAUUACAUGGAAUACCAAUUGCGAAGGCAGGUUACUACUUAUGGAUUGACGCUGAUGGACGAAAGCGUGGGGAGCGAACAGGAUUAGAUACCCUGGUAGUCCACGCCGUAAACGAUGGAUACUAGCUGUUCGGAGCAAUCUGAGUGGCUAAGCGAAAGUGAUAAGUAUCCCACCUGGGGAGUACGGGCGCAAGCCUGAAACUCAAAGGAAUUGACGGGGGCCCGCACAAGCGGUGGAGCAUGUGGU